UUAUUUACUGUCCACACUACUCAAUUUACUCUUGUGCUGAUAAUAAUGAAAAUACGUACCCCUAGUGAUGUGAAGAUUAAAUGAGGUCAUGACUACAAGUGAAAUGUACAGACAGCACCUGGCAGAAGUUACAGUUCCAGUGUUUCCAGGAUGUUUCACUAAUGUGUCUAAUUUUAUGCCAAUACUCUAAUGAACUGAUCUGGAUGGAUAUGUCAAAUGAUCUUUUAUUUUUCCAUUUUAGGUAAUGUUAUGGACUACAUUGUGCCCCACCCAAAAUGUACAUAUUGAAGUCCUAAUCCCAAAGUGGCUGUACUUGAAGAUAGGGUCUUUAAGGGGGUACUUACUUGGAAGUGAGGUCAUAAGGCAGUAGCCAUAAUCCAAAAGGACUAAUGUUCCUAUAAGAAGAGGAAGAGACACAAGAGAUCUUCCUCUCAGCUCAGCAUCCAGAUGUAAAGACAGAAGACAACUCAGCAGAGAAGUAGCUGCUACAAAACACGAGAGUCUCACCAGAAAUCAACCCUGCUUGUACCUCGUCUGGACUUCAGUCACCAGAACUAUGAGAAAAUAAAUUUCCACCACUUCAGCCAUCCAGUCUCAGGAGCUGAAAGGAGCCCCCAAAGCUGAAGCAAACUGGAUUUGUGAGGUGGUGUAAGAAUGUAGCCUUCAUUGUAAGACCAUGAAGAGCUGCUGUCAUGUGGAAGAAUGGAGCAGCAUUAUCCAACUUUCAAGUGAACAAGAUGACUGUGGAUGCCAUUAAGAGUACUGGUGGUAGAUGGACCAUGAUUUUAGUGCUAUCUAAAAGGGGGGGUCCUUAAAUUUUUACCAGAAAGGGAAAAAUGGUAACUAUUUUAGGCUUUGCAGCUUGUAGGGUUUCUAAUUUAAGUAAACUACCUAUGUUGCAUGUAAACUUACAGACAAUACAUAAAUAAAUGUCUGUGACUGUAUUUUGAUAAAAUAUUUCUAAGAACAGGUAGUGGGCCUAGCUUUGGCCUGCAAGUAGUGGUCUGAUGAUCCACAGUCUAAACAUUUCAAAGUUUCUCUAACUUACCCGCAAAGACCAUCACUGAAACGAUGAUCUCAAAAUUCUGUGAUGUGUCUGGUAGACUGAUCCCCAUGACUAGCAUUUGGUAGGUACUCAAUAAAUAUUUUUGAAGAGUAAGCAUUGCAGAAAGACAUCAUGUUUGUGUCAUCAGGGAAGUAAAUUUCAUUUAUUCAACCUUUGA